rnacentral:rRNA from 1 species
AACGAACGCUGGCGGCAGGCCUAACACAUGCAAGUCGAGCGCGCCCUUCGGGGUGGGCGGCGGACGGGUGAGUAACGCGUGGGAACGUGCCCUUCUCUGCGGAAUAGCCUCGGGAAACUGAGAGUAAUACCGCAUACGCCCUUUGGGGGAAAGAUUUAUCGGAGAAGGAUCGGCCCGCGUUGGAUUAGGUAGUUGGUGGGGUAAUGGCCCACCAAGCCGACGAUCCAUAGCUGGUUUGAGAGGAUGAUCAGCCACACUGGGACUGAGACACGGCCCAGACUCCUACGGGAGGCAGCAGUGGGGAAUCUUAGACAAUGGGGGCAACCCUGAUCUAGCCAUGCCGCGUGAGUGAUGAAGGCCUUAGGGUUGUAAAGCUCUUUCAGCUGGGAAGAUAAUGACGGUACCAGCAGAAGAAGCCCCGGCUAACUCCGUG